ensembl:lncRNA
CAGAGUGGCUGUGUGUGUGUGUAAGAGGCCCAGAGAGAGAGAAAGAAAGAGAGCGAGCGUAUUUGUGGGCCGGCUAAAUAUAGAAAUAAAUCAAUCAAUGAUAACCCGGCUAUGUGUGCAACGCUUGCUUGCUUUGUUAUGCUCAACGCUAUUUUGCCGUGUCUAAUGAUUGUGAGUGCGGUAGCAGACGGAUAAUUGCAUUGACCACAGCGGACGGGAAUAGUAGACACCUGUUGCCCCUCACUAGUAAGGUGUGAGCGGCUGGGCAUAUAUCUCUGUCCAGACUCCCUGUGCAUGUGUGUCAGAAAGAGAGAGAGAAAGGCUGUGAGCGAUUCUGUGUGUGUACGUCAGUGUGUACGUGCGUGUCAGCGAGUAUGCGUCAACGUGCGUUUGGGUGUGUACGUUUGCGUGAGAGAAAGCUUGAUAGAGGGAAAGAGAGAACCUGUGAGUGAAUCAGUGUGUGGAGUGGUGUGGUACGCCCGAAUGCAUCUUUUGUCACGUUGGUGGGUUGUGGCACUAAUGUGUCGCCAUAGAGGUCCGUUGAUAUGUUUCUGUGUGUGCGUCUGCGGGAGACAGAACGAGAGAAGUCUGUUGAUAUGUCUCUGUGUGUGCGUUUAGAGGAGACGGAGUGAGAAAGGCUGUGUGCGUCUCUGUGCGUGUGUACGCAAGAGGUGAUGUUUCUGUGUGUGCGUUUGGAGGAAGAAUGAGAAAGGUCUGUUUAGGUGUGUGUGUGAGAGGGAGCGAGAGAGAUAGACAAGGAGAGCUAAAGUCGGAGGACGAUCGAGAGGGACCAUUUUCCCUCUAGACAGUUGGAGGUAGCGAUAGAGUGCGUGUUUUUCUAACAAUGAACGGUUGUUUCAGGACCACGAGAAGGGACUUUGUAUGGUUUUCAGGCCCAGAGUGUAAUCCCCUUUCCCAUAUGUGUAGUCCUCCCAUUUGAGGUCACCGUCCACCAUAUUUGAAGUCCUCUACUCCACCUCAUGUUGUAGUUCCCCUCCCUAGAAUUGUAUGGAAGUUAGAACCUGUGAGUGAAUCAGUGGGUGUGUAUGCGUGGUCCGCUCCAUCUUUGCCCGUUGAAACGGGUAAAGGUAGGAAUAGAUAAAUCGAUAAUAAUGAAUAAUGUCUCUCUGCCG